UCUUCUUGUCUUAAUAGGAAUUAGCGGUCAUUUUGUCACCAAAUAUUGAAUUCAAUGAAAGUUGCCCUAUAAUAGUUAUUAUAUAUUAAAGUAAUAAUUACACUUGUAUUUAAUUAUUUCCAACACCUUUUAACCUCUUGAAAAUGAUUAUAUGAUUUUGGUGAUUGAAUAUUAUUAUCUUGCAAGACAGUACAAUUAUUCUCUAGUUACCUUUGCAUGCUGUCAGCAAAAUGUAAAUGCUGUUUUUGUUUUUAUUUGAGAAAUGAUUUGAUUUGGGUGCAGUGAAUACAUCUUCCGUAUAUAUUUCUUUACAUUAAAAGCGGUUAUCUAACGUAGUUUUAUUAGGGUUAAUUCUCUUGUUUUUGUACAUAAUAAAAAAUAAAUGUUCUUAUUAGUCAUCAAUAUGUAUUUCAAUAUCAUCGAGAGAUUUUGAGGGGGAAAAAAAGAAAAUGGUUGUCAUCAUUUUCACAGCUAUAAUGUCCCUUUAAAAUAAGAUGUAAGUGCACAUGCAGUGCAGGUAUCUGAAUUUUAAUCUAAUUAGAAGGAAAAAAGUGAAGAAAAAAUAUCUAUAUCUAAAUAAAUGGAGAGAGAGAGGGGGGUUCUUUUCUUUUCUUUAUUUACAUGUAUAUCUGUUGAUUACAAUUCAGAUACUGGGUUUGUGAGUUGAAAUUAAUCAAAUGAGAGUGGUAAAAAUUCACCUUUAUAUCGUAUAAUUUACAUAUCAGGAUUUUAUCCAGGUACGUUAUUCUGGUUUGUGGAAUGCUAAUUGAUACUAAGUUAGAAUAAUCUAAGCUGUAUACCAAAGUAGGUCUUCAUGGGGCUUUACGGCUCUAUGCAUCGCAAAUAGAGAUCGGGUUCAAUGCGUCGGGUGUGGGAUUCACUCAAUAUUAUAUGCUGAGCGCGAAAGUUGAUAUCAACAGACGCCAUGAUGUGAUACCGGUAAACAUCUUGAACAUGAAUCGAGAACAGGAGUUGAUGCAGAUAUUCUGAGGAGAAUCUUCCAAUCAUUGAAAUAUAUUUCAUGAUAGUCGUGAAGAUACAGAAGUUGUGAUGGUGUGUUGAUAGGCUGUCUUCAACUUGCCAUAUCUGAGAGUUCCAACAUGCAGGCCUGGAUUAAUGUGUAUAAAUCACUAAUGAAGUUACUUAGUGUUAUUUAGUUUUUAAAAAAGAAUGACAUUUCAAUUUAUACACACUUGCCAAGUGAAUCUGAUGAGACUGCUACAUGUAUUUGUGAGUAAAGGCACUCUGUCUUAACCGAAAAACUAUUUACAGUUUAUCACAACAAAUGGAUGGGACAUUAGAGUUGUUGCGGACAAUAUGUGAUUGUGAUGACCAAGUACUGAACAAGUGGAAGAUUAGAAGAAGGUCCAGAAUUCAAUCAUGUUUUUUAUUCUAAGGCACAGACAGCAUGGAGAUAGUCCUAUUAUUCUCCCAUUCAUCUAUGAUGGAGAAACUUGUGUAAAUGUUUACAGUGUUCUCCCUAAUAAGUGCUCACAAGUCUGUAUUAAUUUAUCAGAAUAUAAAGUCCUUCACAGUACUGACUUUAAAAUUAAUGUAGAUUGUCUCCAGAUAUUUCUGAGGAAAAGUGCAUAGUUUACAUGUGUGAAUUUUGAAUAUAUUUCAUUCUUGUCUGCAAAUGUUGCCGAAACCUGUCAUUGAUGCACAAUGCACAUAGUCAUGUUAUGCAAAUGAUAGACCUCCUCUUUAAUUACAUGUCCUUAAGAUCAUGUCAACUCCUUUGUCUUAAUUGUAUAUACAAUUCUAGCAUUUAUAGCAUCAUUUGUAUAGCACUUGCUAGUUUAAUAAGGAUUUUAUUUUUUUAAAACUUUCAUUUGACAUGAUUGAUCUAAAACGGCCAAAAUUCACAAAUCUAUUUAAAUCACGUGACCUUAGGCCAGAAAAGUGCCACAGUGGGUUGAUUUUUUUCUCUUGGAUCUUGAAAGAAAUUCUUUAUGCAGCAGUUUCCAAAUAAAAUGUACUCUCAUGGCCAGGGUGGGACUUCACCGAGAACUUUUUAACAUUGCACAAUGCAAUAUUUGUGGAUUAGAAACUGUUGCAGUUUCUUUAAGUUUUCUCUCACAUCUUGUUAUAAUUAUAUUUUAUAUUUUUGGUCGGGUUGCACAAUGUGCAAACAGUUUAUAAAAUGGUGAAGGACUGGUGGGCAAGCGACAAUAGCGUCCCUGUAAUAGUACCUACUUUGUGUAAUCAACUCCUUUCACACCUCUCACUUGAUGUUCCUCAAACUUUGUACAGUUGUUAGGGAUACAUUGAAGAUGUGCGUGUACCUUUUUGAAAGUGAUCAGACAUUUUUUGAAAAAUUUACAUGUAGUUAAACUUCGUCAUUUUUUAAGCAUUUCUUUAAUCGACAGUACCUAUUUUGUGUAAUCAACUCCUCGUAUACCUCUAAUUUGACAUUCCUCAAACUGUGUACAGUUGUUAUGAAUACAUUGAAGAUGUGCAUAUGUGUUUUUGAAAGUGAUCAGACAUUUUAAAAAAAAAAUGUACAUGUAGUUGAACUUAAGUCAUUUUAAAGCAUUUCUUGAAUAGAUGGUAACUAUUUUGUGUAAUCAAAUCCUCAUGCACCUCUAACUUGACAUUCCUUAAACUUUGUACAGUUGUUAUGAACACAUUGAAGAUGUGCAUGCGUCUUUUUGAAAAUGAUUAGACUUUUU